rnacentral:rRNA from 1 species
AGAGUUUGAUCAUGGCUCAGAUUGAACGCUGGCGGCAGGCUUAACACAUGCAAGUCGAACGAUGAUUCUCUAGCUUGCUAGAGAUGAUUAGUGGCGGACGGGUGAGUAACAUUUAGGAAUCUGCCUAGUAGUGGGGGAUAGCUCGGGGAAACUCGAAUUAAUACCGCAUACGGCCUACGGGUGAAAGGGGGCGCAAGCUCUUGCUAUUAGAUGAGCCUAAAUCAGAUUAGCUAGUUGGUGGGGUAAAGGCCCACCAAGGCGACGAUCUGUAACUGGUCUGAGAGGAUGAUCAGUCACACCGGGACUGAGACACGGUCCGGACUCCUACGGGAGGCAGCAGUGGGGAAUAUUGGACAAUGGGGGCAACCCUGAUCCAGCCAUGCCGCGUGUGUGAAGAAGGCCUUUUGGUUGUAAAGCACUUUACAGCGAGGGAGGAGAGGCUAAUGGUUAAU